rnacentral:lncRNA from 1 species
UCAGCCGCCACCAGCAGCCUUCUCUUCCUCCCCACGUCUCCUUCCUCCUCUUGCCGUGCAGCAGCAAGCACCUCCCUGGCUUCCCUUGCGCAGGGGGCUUUCUUCUCCAUGGGCGCUGGCCAAGAUCACCCCAUGGCGCUUGGCUCCCUGGAACACAGCAGCACGCCAGCGCAGGGCCUUCCCAUGGCUGCGAGCUCCUUCUCCCGGCGAGCGGCUGCAGCAGGGGGUCGUCUCCUCCAUGGCGCGGACGAACUACCUCCCUGCAGGCAAGCAGCAGCCCCCUCAGCUCCUUCUAUGGCGCCCAGUCUGCAUGCACGACCGAGAUCCAUCAGUUCCUAUGUUCCCCAUGGCCGAGCUCGCCCCAUGGACUUGGCUCCUUGGUUCUUCUUUCACGUACGCGCCCUCUCCAACCUGCAGCACGUCCCCUGCUCCACGGCCAGCAGGAAGCCAGCGCCCCUCUGCAGCUCGGCUUCUCCUCUCCCAUGGCCGAGGCCGAGCUUCCCUGGUGCAGGCGCCCCCUUUUCUUCCACCUCUGGCCGGUCUUUUCUGCGCAGCAAGCCGCGCGCAGCAGCAGCAUUGUUCUUCGCCUUGCGUCGUCGUCGAGCUUCGCCACUCUCCUCCCCAUGACCCGCAGCCCUCGCACCCUCUACCCUCCCCAAAAACAGCAAGCCCCCAGCAGCCCCGGAUUCCCUCCGUGUCGCUUGCAUGCCACCCGCUCGAUGUAUUGCGCAGCCACAUUGUCGCUGCUCGCUGCCCGUCAACGUGCAGCCCUUCUGUUUUCUCCAUUGGCACAGCAGCCCCGUCGUCUCCGCGCGCUGCCGGCUCGCUGUUUUGUGGAGCCAAUGGACAGCACGCCGUGAUGCCUGCCGUGUGUUCGCUGUUUUUGCGCAGCCCCAAACAUCGACGUCGUUCACCCCGGAGGAGAGAACCCCGUGUUUUGCGUGGAGAAGGCAAGCCGCUCGACGCUCGUCGAUGUCGUAGCGAUGCACAAAUCGGAAUCACCGUCGUUCUUGCAAACACCGAUUGGGUUUGUUUAUGGACCGAGAGGUGACGAUCGUGCAAGUGAUGUGGUGCCAACCACAAGCUGCAGUUGGUGGACGUACGGAAGGAUGGUGGACUUAAUCAGUGGAUGCUCGCCAAGCGAGUACCUCCCCCAGCAAACACUAUCUAAGUGUCAAACUAAAGGUACCUCCUUGCUUUGGUUGUUGGUGUGACUUGACCUUCAUCCCUGCCACCGGGAUAGACGGUCGAGUGGGUUACUGCUUCCGCAGGAGAGGACCAGGAGGAGUAGCGUGGCCAGGCUUCGCCAUGUUACUCGGUUUUCUCCGUUAGUUAUCUCCGCUGCAUUAAAAUUUAUGAUUAUUAUUUCUGAAACUCCGAUAAUGUAAUCACUAAUGAUACUUAUUAAAUUUGUGGUAUUAUGCUUU